rnacentral:rRNA from 1 species
GUUAGGAAUAUUGGACAAUGGGCGCAAGCCUGAUCCAGCCAUGCCGCGUGAACGAUGAAGGCCUUCGGGUUGUAAAGUUCUUUAGCCGAUGAUUAUAAUGACUGUAGUCGGAAAAUAAGCCCCGGCUAACUUCGUGCCAGCAGCCGCGGUAAUACGAAGGGGGCGAGCGUUAUUCGGAAUCACUGGGCGUAAAGCGUGCGUAGGCGGUCUCGUAAGUUAGGAGUGAAAGCGCAGGGCUCAACCUUGGAAUUGCUCUUAAAACUGCAAGGCUAGAAGCUCGGAGAGGUUAGCGGAAUUUCCAGUGUAGCAGUGAAAUGCGUAGAUAUUGGAAGGAACACCAGUGGCGUAAGCGGCUAUCUGGACGAGUAUUGACGCUGAGGCACGAAAGCGUGGGGAUCAAACAGGAUUAGAAACCCUAGUAGUCC